rnacentral:rRNA from 1 species
CCUACGGGAGGCAGCAGUGGGGAAUAUUGCACAAUGGGGGAAACCCUGAUGCAGCGACGCCGCGUGAGUGAAGAAGUAUUUCGGUACGUAAAGCUCUAUCAGCAGGGAAGAAAAUGACGGUACCUGACUAAGAAGCCCCGGCUAACUACGUGCCAGCAGCCGCGGUAAUACGUAGGGGGCAAGCGUUAUCCGGAUUUACUGGGUGUAAAGGGAGCGUAGACGGCAGCGCAAGUCUGGAGUGAAAUCCCAUGGCUUAACCAUGGAACUGCUUUGGAAACUGUGCAGCUAGAGUGCAGGAGAGGUAAGCGGGAUUCCUAGUGUAGCGGUGAAAUGCGUAGAUAUUAGGAGGAACACCAGUGGCGAAGGCGGCUUACUGGACUGUAACUGACGUUGAGGCUCGAAAGCGUGGGGAGCAAACAGGAUUAGAUACCCUAGUAGUC